AUUUGUUAUCUUUUUUCUUUUCCUUAGGAGCCUUGUAUCUUUUGGGAUCUCCUGAUCAUCUCAUCUGCAGCUUGGCAUUUUUUCACAAGUGUGAUCCAGCCCCGAAGUGAAGCUGCUCUGUGUUGAAGAUGGCUACAGACACGCAGAUGCAGAGCCCUGGGCCCAGGAGGCUCUAGGCACCGGGUGGGAGGUGAUCCGGGUGAGUACCGGUGAGCAAGGGGGUCUGCCACCUUCUAACAGACAGUCCAAGGCUUCAGGGCCCCUGCUGGUAAGGGGUCACUGUGGAGGA